rnacentral:rRNA from 1 species
CAGUCGCCGCGGUAAUACGUAGGUGGCAAGCGUUGUCCGGAAUUAUUGGGCGUAAAGCGCGCGCAGGCGGAUAGGUCAGUCUGUCUUAAAGGUUCGGGGCUUAACCCCGUGAUGGGAUGGAAACUGCCAAUCUAGAGUAUCGGAGCGGAAAGUGGAAUUCCUAGUGUAGCGGUGAAAUGCGUAGAUAUUAGGAAGAACACCAGUGGCGGAGGCGACUUUCUGGACGAAAACUGACGCUGAGGCGCGAAAGCCAGGGGAGCGAACGGGAUUAGAUACCCCGGUAGUCCCUGUCUCUUAUACA